GUGGGUAUAGCUCAGUGGUAGAGUGCAUGCUUAGCAUGCACGAGGUCCUGGGUUCAAUCCCCAGUACCUCCA
rfam:Camelus ferus unplaced genomic scaffold scaffold199, whole genome shotgun sequence.